GAGGAGAGCACCAUGUGAUUAGCCCGUGGCUUUACUGAUUAAUUUCUCAUUUCUUUGUUUGCAUUUGAUUUUGAUUGAUUUUCUGUGCUCUUUGUAAAUGAGGAGGUUGCCAUGAAUACAAAGGCAUUCCACACAUAACAACAAUCAGAGCUCAUCUGCCUUUUGUUUUCCUGAUAUCUUCUUCACUACUACUGCAUCCCUUUACUGACCACCAGUUUUCACUCACAACAGCUUCUGGCUGAACUAAUGAGUAUGCAAAGAUCCCAGUUUGUGCAGAAUAACAUCCCUGGUUGUCAACCAUGGUUCUGUGUCAGAGUGGAGGCUGGUCACCACUGGUCAGUCCUGGGACCAGUGCUCUUCAACACCUUCAUCAAUGACAUAGAUGAUGGCAUCGAGGGCACCCUCAGCCAGUCUGCAGAUGACACCAAGCUGAGCGGUGCAGUCGAUACAUUGGAGGGAAGGGAAGCCAUCCAGAGGGACCUGGACAGGCAGGAGAAGCGGGCCCACGAGAACCUAAUGAGGUUCAACAAGGCCAAAUGCAAGGUGCUGCACUUAGGGUGGGGCAAUCCCAGAUAUUUAUACAGACUAGGGGAAGAUCUCCUUGAGAGUAGCCCUGCGGAGAAGAACUUGGGGGUCCUGGUGGAUGAGAAGCUGGACAUGAGCCAGCAGUGUGCACUGGCAGCUCAAAAGGCCAACUAUGUUCUGGGCUGCAUUAAAAGAGGAGUGGCUGGCAAGGAGAGGGAGGUGAUUGUCCCCCUCCAUUCAGCUCUUGUGAGGCCCCAUCUGGAGUACUGUGUCCAGGCCUGGGGCCCCCAGUACAAGAAAGAUGCAGAGCUCUUGGAACAAGUUCAGAGGAGGGCCACCAAGAUGAUCAGAGGUCUGGAGCACCUCUCCUAUGAAGAAAGGUUGAGGGAAUUGGGCUUGUUUAGCUUGGAGAAGAGAAGGCUCCGGAGAGACCUCAUUGCAGCCUUCCAGUACUUGAAGGGAGUGCAUAAACAGGAGGGGUGUGACUGUUUACAUGGGUGGAUAGUGAUAGGACAAGGGGGAAUGGUUUUAAACUAAGAUAGAGGAGGUUUAGAUUAGAUGUUAGGAGGAAGUUUUUCACUCAGAGGGUGGUGACGCGCUGGAACAGG
rnacentral:lncRNA from 1 species